GGCCUUAUGGGUUGUAAACUUCUUUUGUAUGGGAAGAAAAGCAGUUACGUGUAAUUGUCUGCCGGUACCAUACGAAUAAGGAUCGGCUAACUCCGUGCCAGCAGCCGCGGUAAUACGGAGGAUCCAAGCGUUAUCCGGAUUUAUUGGGUUUAAAGGGUGCGUAGGCGGCUCUAUAAGUCAGUAGUGAAAUCUCGAAGCUCAACUUCGAACGUGCUAUUGAAACUGUAGAGCUUGAGUACAGACGAGGCAGGCGGAAUGUGUUGUGUAGCGGUGAAAUGCUUAGAUAUAACACAGAACACCGAUAGCGAAGGCAGCUUGCCAGACUGUAACUGACGCUGAGGCACGAAAGCGUGGGGAGCAAACAGGAUUAGAUACCCUGGUAGUCCACGCCGUAAACGAUGAUUACUGGUUGUAGGCGAUACAUUGUCUGUGACUGAGCGAAAGUAUUAAGUAAUCCACCUGGGGAGUACGUCGGCAACGAUGAAACUCAAAGGAAUUGACGGGGGCCCGCGCAAGCGGAGGAACAUGUGGUUUAAUUCGAUGAUACGCGAGGAACCUUACCUGGACUUAAAUGUAGAUUGCAUAGAGUGGAGACAUUCUUUUCUUCGGACUAUCUACAAGGUGCUGCAUGGUUGUCGUCAGCUCGUGCCGUGAGGUGUCGGGUUAAGUCCCAUAACGAGCGCAACCCCUAUCGUUAGUUGCUAGCAGGUAAUGCUGAGAACUCUAGCGAGACUGCCACCGUAAGGUGUGAGGAAGGUGGGGAUGACGUCAAAUCAGCACGGCCCUUACGUCCAGGGCUACACACGUGUUACAAUGGCAGGUACAAAGGGCAGCUACAUAGCGAUAUGAUGCUAAUCUCAAAAACCUGUCUCAGUUCGGAUAGGAGUCUGCAACUCGACUCCUUGAAGCUGGAUUCGCUAGUAAUCGUAUAUCAGCAAUGAUACGGUGAAUACGUUCCCGGGCCUUGUACACACCGCCCGUCAAGCCAUGGAAGUUAGGGGUACCUAAAGUACGUAACCGCAAGGAGCGUCCUAGGGUAAAACUGGUAACUGGGGCUAAGUCGUAACAAGGUAGCCGUACCGGAAGGUGUGGCUGGAACACCUCCUUUCU
rnacentral:rRNA from 1 species